GAUGUACUUCCUCCAUCUGAAAAUACUUGUGAUCAAAAUGGAUAAAAAGAUAUGUAUCUAGAACUAAAAUACGUCUAGAUACAUCUUUUUUUAUUCAUUUUGAUUACAAGUAUUUCCGGACGUAAUAAUUC
rfam:Triticum aestivum genome assembly, contig: Triticum_aestivum_CS42_TGACv1_scaffold_112414_2AS